rnacentral:lncRNA from 1 species
UGUUGCAGGCUGUUGCAUAGCCUUUGCUCUUUCUUCAUUAGGUGUGGCAUUUUUUAUGUAUAGUCCCAACAAACAAAUGAGAAGAUUUAUCAGAAUUUUUGAAAUAUAUUUUAAGACUAACAGGAUUGUGAAUAAACACCAACAAGAGCAUCAAAGGAACAAGAAAGAAACAUCACCAGCCUUAAGAAGUCUCCAUGCGUCUUUUCCUCUGCUUCAAUAGCUUUAUUAAGAAUUCCACCUGAUGUUGCACUAGUGAAAAUAUUAUAUUCAAUGAAUAAAUAAUUGGAAACUUUAAAGUCUGCGGUUAACUAAAUUGCUAAUGACGAUUAAGAGAUUCAUUCCGCAAAUUAUUCAAGAAACUUUUGCAGAUAAUAUUAAUUAGAUUUUACAGCAAUUUUUCAAUAUUCUUUUCAUUCCCAUUGAAGGAUCAAGCAUUACGAGCCAAAAUGCAAACACAGGGCAUUACUUGAGUAGCAACUUAAUCAAUUGUCACAAGUUGUACAAGACUUUUCAAUCCAAAAGAAGGCUGAAUUGUAGAAUAAAAUGUAAUCCUAUCAUUAAAAGCCCAAACGAACAUUAUUAACUAGAUUUAUAAAUUUCUUGAAUCCUAAAACGAAAAAGUAUUCAUUCGUAUAAAGCUAUCAGUUCCGACCUCACUGUUCUACUCAUCCCCGUCUCGCUCAAUUUAGCCGAUUAAUAAAGCAGCUCAAGAAAUGUUUCUAAAAUUUAAUAAAUGAGAAAAUUCUAUAAUGAAUUAUUGUAAUACUAAAACACAAGAUUACCCAGAAAUGUAAUAGAACCUUUAACAAACACAUGGAAUGCAAAACCCAUAUGUAAAAAAUAUAUCAUUAAUGCAAGAGUCGGAAAAACAUCCUAUACUAUAAAUUAAUCACAAAUCGAGUAAGAGAAACAAUCAAACAAAACAAUAUUGCAAAAAAAAAAAAAAAUCAUACUUAGGGUUUAAAAGAGAUGAGAACUUUGAAGCUCGUGUUGAAGAUAGUUGAGAUAACGGCGAAGCUCACCAUCACUUGCUAGAAAUCACUGAGAAAUAGGUAAAGCUUGCUUGCGAAUGAGUGUGGCUUUCAGGGAUUCUUGAUGGCUAGGGUUUCGGCUGUCGUCGACAGGUGAGGUUUUGGUUUCGAUUUAGGACUGAAUUUGAUUCCGCUGUGGCAAAGAAAGACUGCGGCGGGUCAGCGGCGAGCCAACGACAGUGAGGGUUGUCAUUGUCAGUGAGGAGCGAGCUACAUUCGAGAGAGAGAAGUUUUAGAGUAAUGAGUGAGUGUGGCCUUAACACUUAGGGAAAAAAGAGGUUGAAAUACUAAUAAAGGUGUGAAACAACGUCGUUUCACUUCUUUCUUU